rnacentral:rRNA from 1 species
AUUGAACGCUGGCGGCGUGCUUAACACAUGCAAGUCGAACGAGGCCCCUCCUUCGGGAGGGUGUCCUAGUGGCGAACGGGUGAGUAACACGUGGGCAACCUGCCCCCGGCUCUGGGAUAACCCCAAGAAAUUGGGGCUAAUACCGGAUAUGACCGCUGACCGCAUGGUCUGGUGGUGGAAAGAUUUUUUCGGCUGGGGAUGGGCCCGCGGCCUAUCAGCUUGUUGGUGGGGUAGUGGCCUACCAAGGCGACGACGGGUAGCCGGCCUGAGAGGGUGACCGGCCACACUGGGACUGAGACACGGCCCAGACUCCUACGGGAGGCAGCAGUGGGGAAUAUUGCGCAAUGGGCGGAAGCCUGACGCAGCGACGCCGCGUGGGGGAUGACGGCCUUCGGGUUGUAAACCUCUUUCAGCAGGGACGAAGCGAAAGUGACGGUACCUGCAGAAGAAGCACCGGCCAACUACGUGCCAGCCGCCGCGGUAA